UCGCAAGGCUCAAAUGGGCUCAUGAAGUAGUAAUGCAUCAUGGAACGCUCGCCAAAUUCGGUGAAACCUGUCGCACAUAGGUGCAUGGCAAUACCGAGCCAAGCCCCUCCCUAGUUUUGGUUUUUAGAAAUUUCAAUAAAAUCAAAACUAGGGAGGGGAAGGUGUAGAGACUAGACGACGAGCUCCCUUCCUGCUAGCAGGAAGGGAUGAAGGUAUAGUCCAGACCACAAAUUCG
rnacentral:ncRNA from 1 species